rnacentral:rRNA from 1 species
AACGAACGCUGGCGGCAGGCCUAACACAUGCAAGUCGAACGAACCUUCGGGUUAGUGGCGCACGGGUGCGUAACACGUGGGAAUAUACAUUUCGGUAAGGAAUAACACAGAGAAAUUUGUGCUAAUACCUUAUAAUGACUCCGGUCCAAAGAUUUAUCGCCGAAGGAUUAGCCCGCGCUAGAUUAGUUUGUUGGUGAGGUAAGAGCUCACCAAGACUACGAUCUAUAGCUGGUCUUAGAGGAUGAUCAGCCACACUGGAACUGAGACACGGUCCAGACUCCUACGGGAGGCAGCAGUGAGGAAUAUUGGACAAUGGGGGCAACCCUGAUCCAGCCAUGCCGCGUGAAUGAAGAAGGCCUUAGGGUUGUAAAAUUCUUUCAGAUGCGAAGAAUAAUGACGGUACCAUCAGAAGAAAGCUCCGGCUAAAUUACGUUG